CCCUUAGAUGUUCUGGGCCGCACGCGCGCUACACUGAUGCAUUCAACGAGCCUAUCCUUGACCGACAGGUCCGGGUAAUCUUUGAAUCUGCAUCGUGACGGGGAUAGAUUAUUGCAAUUAUUAAUCUUCAACGAGGAAUGCCUAGUAGGCGCAAGUCAUCAGCUUGCGUCGAUUACGUCCCUGCCCUUUGUACACACCGCCCGUCGCUGCCCGGAACUGAGCCGUUUCGAGAAGACUGGGGACUGCGAACUUUGGGCUGGAAAACAGCUUUUUGUUUGUGGAAACCACUUUAAUCGCAGCGGCUUGAACCGGGCAAAAGUCGUAACA
rnacentral:rRNA from 1 species